rnacentral:rRNA from 1 species
GUCUGCAGCCGCGCCGCCCUGCGCACGCCCGGUCCCGUGUGAUCUCAGACGCUCAGCAGGGUCGGGCCUGGUUAGUACUUGGGUGGGAGACCACCUAGAAAGACCAGGUGCUGUAGGCG